UGUAGCGUGGAAGGAAGAAAAUUCAUUCCACCAAAUAUCCUUGAUAUUAUAUUUUCAUUAAUUUUUUUUGAUUUUCCGUUUUAUGUUAGAAUUAUUAUUAGAAUAAUUAUUAUGUUAGAAUUAUUAUUUUAAAGAAAAAUACUCUGUAAAAUAAUUUUCGGAAAGUUUAGUUUUAUUUUUGCGGGUAUAACUGGUGACGUCACUUCCUCCUUCACCAGACCGUUCAUGGCUGUUACGGAGGAAGGUGGGCUGAUGUCGGCUGGGUAUGAUAUUUGCUGCUGAACAGUUUUCAUAUCACUCUGUACAGGUAUGUUGUUGUUUUAUUUAUUUAUUGAACUUUUUUGUUCAAUGUCGGAGUUUUAUACUUUUUUUUAUUUUUCACAAUGUACAAGUUUUUUUUUAUACAUUACUUAUUGUGGAGGUUUGCUGGUGGCGUGUUUCUGUUAUCUUCAUUUGUUUCAUCUUGAUUUAAAAUAUGUAAUAAUUCAGACCAGACCGUUCAUGGCUGUUACGGAGGAAGGUGGGCUGAUGUCGGCUGGGUAUGAUAUUUGCUGCUGAACAGUUUUCAUAUCACUCUGUACAGAAUAAAUACGCCAUCAGUAGGCUGACCUGGAA